rnacentral:rRNA from 1 species
CCUACGGGAGGCAGCAGUAGGGAAUUUUCGUCAAUGGGCGCAAGCCUGAACGAGCGAUGCCGCGUGAGUGAAGAAGGCCUUCGGGUCGUAAAGCUCUGUUGCGGGGGAAAAAGGCAGCAUCAGGAAAUGGGUGCUGACUGAUGGUGCCCCGCCAGAAAGUCACGGCUAACUACGUGCCAGCAGCCGCGGUAAUACGGAGGGGGCGGGCGUUAUCCGGAAUGAUUGGGCGUAAAGGGUGCGCAGGCGGUCCUGCAAGUCUGGAGUGAAACGCAUGGGCUCAACUCAUGCAUGGCUUGGGAAACUGGAGGACUGGAGAGGAGGAGAGGGCGGUGGAAUGCGAGGUGUAGCGGUAAAAUGCGUAGAUAUAGGGAAGAACACCAGGGGCGAAGGCGGCAGCCUGGCUUGUUGCUGACGCUGAGGCACGAAAGCGUGGGGAGCAAAUAGGAUUAGAUACCCUAGUAGUC